AUUGAACGCUGGCGGCAGGCCUAACACAUGCAAGUCGAACGAGUGGCGGACGGGUGAGUCAUGUCUGGGAAACUGCCCGAUGGAGGGGGAUAACUACUGGAAACGGUAGCUAAUACCGCAUACCAUCGGAUGUGCCCAGAUGGGAUUAGCUAGUAGGUGGGGUAACGGCUCACCUAGGCGACGAUCCCUAGCUGGUCUGAGCGGAUGACCGGCAAAAUUGGAACUGAGACACGGUCAAGAUUCCUCCGGGAGGCAGCAGUGGGGAACAUUGGACAAUGGGGGCAAGCCGGAUGCAGCAAGGCCGCGUGUAUGAAGAAGGCCUUCGGGUUGUAAAGUACUUUGAGCGAGGAGGCGUUACUCGACGAAGAAGCACCGGCUAACUCCGUGCCAGCAGCCGCGGUAAUUC
rnacentral:rRNA from 1 species